GGUAGCGUGCCGCUUGCGGCCGGCGCACAGGUGGCUGCAUGGCUGUCGUCAGCUCGUGCUGUGAAGUAGUUGGGUUUAAGGUCCCGCCAACGAGCGCAACCCCUCGCUGCCUGUUGCCACCACGAGAGGUGGGGACUCAGGCGGGACCGCCGGUGACAAACCGGAGGAAGGUGGGGACGACGUCAAGUCAUCAUGGCCCUUAUGUCCUGGGCUACACACGUGCUACAAUGGCCGGUACAGAGCGCAGCGAGGCCGCGAGGCGGAGCGAAUCGCUUAAAGCCGGUCCCAGUACGGAUUGGAGUCUGCAACCCGACUCCAUGAAGUUGGAAUCGCUAGUAAUCGCGCAUCAGCAUGGCGCGGUGAAUACGUUCCCGGGCCUU
rnacentral:rRNA from 1 species